rnacentral:misc_RNA from 1 species
UCCGUGUUAACCACGGCAGUCUGUUUGGAGUGCCCAACUUAAUGAUGGCAACCAAACACAGGGGUUGCGCUCGUUGCGGGACUUAACCCAACAUUUCACAACACGAGCUGACGACAGCCAUGCAGCACCUGUCUCCUCUGUCUCUUGCGAGCCUAUCUAUAUCUCUAUAAAUAUUCAAAGGGAUGUCAAACCCAGGUAAGGUUCUUCGCGUUGCUUCGAAUUAAACCACAUGAUCCACCGCUUGUGCGGGUCCCCGUCAAUUCCUUUGAGUUUUAAUCUUGCGACCGUACUUCCCAGGCGGGAUGCUUAUCGCGUUUGCUUCGACACAAAAGGGGUCAAGACCUCUUACGUCUAGCAUCCAUCGUUUACAGCGUGGACUAC